CAAUGCUCCUUUCGACUCUCAGUUCCCUCUUCUUCCUUCACAAACCCUUGUAGAGGGAUGAAACAAUGCUCCAUAAAGAUAAGGUUCAAAUGUCAUAACACACACACACACACACACACAAAACUAAAACAAUGCUCCUUUCGUCUCUCAGUUCCCUCUUCUUCCUUCACGCACAGAAACGUUCGACCAGCGCCCCUUCUCUGUCACGGCAUCAGCCGUCGUCGCGCAGCUUCGCUGAGGGCCAUCGCGUCAGUUUAUCUGUGAAGCUGAUGCGUCGGAUCGUCCGCAUCUUGGUCUUCAGAUGUGUGCAGAUCUAAGCUGCUGCAGCGCUGUCGCCGCUCCUUCACCGUAAGCCGUCACCGUCGCACUGCCUCUCCAACGCCAAGCUGCUGUUCUGCACUGUCCCUUCUUUCUCUAUCUCUUCUGCGUCAAGCUCUUUUGAACCUGUAUUACUAUUUUGUUGUAUCAGAAAACAAACCUUUCGAAGAUCCUAUGGUUCUUUGGUGAUGGCUUUAUAUAUGAGCAUGUUUUUGUUACAAAAUGCAACGUAAUUUUUUCCUAAUUAAUAUUGCAUGUGAAAGGAGGUGUAAGAUUGACAGGCGUAAGAUUGACGUGAAGUUGGUAUUGUGUAAAUAACAAUAAAAAAUUAGGAUGCCAUAUUUAGGAAUCUCAUGGUAAAUAAAAAAGGGAGACAAGACAAAGAAAAUGCUUACAAACUCUUAAGCUGUAAAUCUACAUUAUAGUUAUGUAAAUUGCAACAUUCAGAUGUUGAAA